rnacentral:rRNA from 1 species
AUUGAACGCUGGCGGCAGGCCUAACACAUGCAAGUCGAACGAGUGGCGGACGGGUGAGUAAUGUCUGGGAAACUGCCUGAUGGAGGGGGAUAACUACUGGAAACGGUAGCUCAUACCGCAUACCAUCGGAUGUGCCCAGAUGGGAUUAGCUAGUAGGUGGGGUAAAGGCUCACAUAGGAGACGAUCCCUAGCUGGUCUGAGAGGAUGACCUGCCACACUGUACCUUGGAUACGUUCCAGACUCCUACGAGAGGCAGUAGUGGGGAAUAUUGCAAAAUGGGCGCAAGCCUGAUGCAGCCUUGCUGCGUGUAUUAAGAAGGCCUUCGGGUUGUAAAGUACGUUCAGCGGGGAGACGUUACCCGCAGAAGAAGCACCGGCUAACUCCGUGCCAGCAGCCUCGGUAAUAC